CCUACGGGAGGCUGCAGUGGGGAAUAUUGCACAAUGGGCGCAAGCCUGAUGCAGCCAUGCCGCGUGUGUGAAGAAGGCUUUCGGGUUGUAAAGCACUUUCAGCGGGGAGGAAGGCGGUGAGGUUAAUAACCUCAUCGAUUGACGUUACCCGCAGAAGAAGCACCGGCUAACUCCGUGCCAGCAGCCGCGGUAGUACGGAGGGUGCAAGCGUUAAUCGGAAUUACUGGGCGUAAAGCGCACGCAGGCGGUCUGUCAAGUCGGAUGUGAAAUCCCCGGGCUCAACCUGGGAACUGCAUUCGAAACUGGCAGGCUAGAGUCUUGUAGAGGGGGGUAGAAUUCCAGGUGUAGCGGUGAAAUGCGUAGAGAUCUGGAGGAAUACCGGUGGCGAAGGCGGCCCCCUGGACAAAGACUGACGCUCAGGUGCGAAAGCGUGGGGAGCAAACAGGAUUAGAUACCCCAGUAGUC
rnacentral:rRNA from 1 species